rnacentral:rRNA from 1 species
AUUGAACGCUGGCGGCAUGCUUUACACAUGCAAGUCGAACGGUAACAGGCCUUCGGGUGCUGACGAGUGGCGCACGGGUGAGUAAUGCAUCGGAACGUACCCAGAGGUGGGGGAUAACGCAGCGAAAGCUGUGCUAAUACCGCAUGUGAUCUGAGGAUGAAAGCGGGGGACCGAGCAGCAAUGUUUGGCCUCGCGCCUUUGGAGCGGCCGAUGUCGGAUUAGCUAGUUGGUGGGGUAAAGGCCUACCAAGGCGACGAUCCGUAGCUGGUCUGAGAGGACGACCAGCCACACUGGGACUGAGACACGGCCCAGACUCCUACGGGAGGCAGCAGUGGGGAAUUUUGGACAAUGGGCGCAAGCCUGAUCCAGCAAUGCCGCGUGCGGGAAGAAGACCUUCGGGUUGUAAACCGCUUUUGGCAGGAACGAAACGGUGUCCGCUAAUACCGGGCGCUAAUGACGGUACCUGCAGAAUAAGCACCGGCUAACUACGUG